UACGGAGGGGGCUAGCGUUAUUCGGAAUUACUGGGCGUAAAGCGCACGUAGGCGGACCAGAAAGUUGGGGGUGAAAUCCCGGGGCUCAACCUCGGAACUGCCUCCAAAACUCCUGGUCUUGAGUUCGAGAGAGGUGAGUGGAAUUCCGAGUGUAGAGGUGAAAUUCGUAGAUAUUCGGAGGAACACCAGUGGCGAAGGCGGCUCACUGGCUCGAUACUGACGCUGAGGUGCGAAAGCGUGGGGAGCAAACAGG
rnacentral:rRNA from 1 species